CACGUAGGGUGCGAGCGUUGUCCGGAAUUAUGGCGUAAAGAGCUCGUAGGCGGUGUGUCGCGUCGGCCGUGAAAACCUGCAGCUUAACUGUGGGCGUGCGGUCGAUACGGGCAUCACUGGAGUUCGGCAGGGGAGACUGGAAUUCCUGGUGUAGCGGUGAAAUGCGCAGAUAUCAGGAGGAACACCGGUGGCGAAGGCGGGUCUCUGGGCCGAUACUGACGCUGAGGAGCGAAAGCGUGGGGAGCAAACAGG
rnacentral:rRNA from 1 species